UCGAGGAUCUUCGGCAAUGGGCGCAAGCCUGACCGAGCGACGCCGCGUGCGCGAUGAAGGCCUUCGGGUUGUAAAGCGCUGUCGAGGGGGAGGAAGCCGCAAGGUUGACCUAUCCCUGGAGGAAGCACGGGCUAAGUUCGUGCCAGCAGCCGCGGUAAGACGAACCGUGCGAACGUUGUUCGGAUUCACUGGGCUUAAAGGGCGCGUAGGCGGGUGAUCAAGUCCGGGGUGAAAUCUUUCGGCUUAACCGGAAAAGUGCCUUGGAUACUGGUCGCCUGGAGGGAGGUAGGGGCAUGUGGAACUUCCGGUGGAGCGGUGAAAUGCGUAGAUAUCGGAAGGAACGCCGGUGGCGAAAGCGACAUGCUGGACCUCUUCUGACGCUGAUGCGCGAAAGCUAGGGGAGCAAACGGGAUUAGAUACCCGCGUAGUCC
rnacentral:rRNA from 1 species